rnacentral:rRNA from 1 species
GUCUAUGGCCUAAUACCACCCUGAACGUGUCAGAUCUUGUCUGAUCUCGGAAGCUAAGCAGGGUCGGGCCUGGUUAGUACUUGGACGGGAGAUGUGAUAAUUCUUAAAGUUUAAGGAAAGCAAGCCCUUACUGAUC